rnacentral:rRNA from 1 species
AAUGAACGCUGGCGGCAGGCCUAACACAUGCAAGUCGAACGGAUCCUUCGGGAUUAGUGGCGGACGGGUGAGUAACGCGUGGGAACGUGCCCUUUGGUUCGGAAUAGCCUCGGGAAACUGGGAGUAAUACCGGAUAAGCCCUUCGGGGGAAAGAUUUAUCGCCAAAGGAUCGGCCCGCGUUGGAUUAGGUAGUUGGUGGGGUAAUGGCCUACCAAGCCGACGAUCCAUAGCUGGUUUGAGAGGAUGAUCAGCCACACUGGGACUGAGACACGGCCCAGACUCCUACGGGAGGCAGCAGUGGGGAAUUUUAGACAAUGGGGGAAACCCUGAUCUAGCCAUGCCGCGUGAUCGAUGAAGGCCUUAGGGUUGUAAAGAUCUUUCAGUUGGGAAGAUAAUGACGGUACCAACAGAAGAAGCCCCGGCUAACUCCGUGCCAGCCGCCGCAGUAAAAC